UUAACCACACAGGAUGUGUGCAUGUGGCAAUUUCUCUCCAUUUUUCUUUUUUUUUUCCAAAAGUCAGAUUUGUCUGACUUUCAAACACCAGGAGAAAACGGAUAUAACGACAAAACCUUUAUCUGGAGACACGCUGUCAGGCUACUGUUUCAGUUACGUGUUCCUGUGAGUAAAGAUCAGUCGUCUGGCCUCAGCAUGUACCAAAGCGGUCACUGAUAAAGCAUUGUUCAGACUGUGCUGGCUGAUGGAAUCAUGACCUUGAUUGUCCGUCACAGCGAUCUAGCCAGGCGUACGUGGAAACGGCUCGUGUGAACUGAACGUGUCUGAUUAUAACAGGUUUGGCAGUCUGAAACGAAUCUACGCAGUAUGUUAAAACUGCUCAGCGUGCAAAAGCAUGCUGUCUCUCUGCUCUUCUGUGGUGUUUCCCCCCCCAGCCGGCGAGAAGGAGGCAACAGCAUCAGACCUUAUAUGGCAGAAGAAGACAUUAGCAGCGCGUCUGAUUGGGGAGCUGCUGCCGCUGCAGUCGACUCUCUCACUCUGUAAAAGUGCUGGCCUGUAGCAGCCUGGGGGAUACUCAACACACCCACAAACACACAACACACGCGCACACACACUCAACACACCCACAAAGACCAACGCGCGCACACACACGCACGCAUAACUGCCUAAUUAGCAGAUGACAGAAUACGAAACUGAAGGUGUAUUUUAUUGUGAAAUGAGGUGUGUACUUGGGCUUGGUUCACAUUGUUCAUGGAUUACUGGGGCAGAGCUGCAAAGGCAAAAACCCAUGCAGAUUAUGUAACAUGUCUCAACAAGAUCUCAUCAUCAACCUGAACCAGACACUGUUGCCUUAAAAGAGAAACCAGAAACUCCUCUCUCCUAAACACUUUCCUGCGCCGGAAAUGCUUUGAGUUGCAGGGUCUGUGAUCACAGACUGGUGGCUUACCCGUCCUGAACCGAACACGGCCUCCUGAGCGUACUUCACUAGGCACUCCUUACAGAAGAGAUGGCCAUCACUGCACUGGGUCAUCUCCUCAAAGGCAAACU